GUCAGGUGCUGUAGGACCAGAGGGGGAGAUGGGAAAGCCUGGGCCUCAGGGACCCCCAGGGGAGCCUGGUGAAAGGGGUCAGCCAGGAAUCAAAGGUGACACGGGUGAUCGAGGGCCAAGGGGCAUACGAGGGAGAGCUGGCCCCAAUGGGAAGGACGGAGAGAAUGGACAGGAUGGGGGGCAAGGGGCUCUUGGUCCACCUGG